UACGGAGGGGGCUAGCGUUGUUCGGAAUUACUGGGCGUAAAGCGCACGUAGGCGGAUAUUUAAGUCAGGGGUGAAAUCCCGGGGCUCAACCCCGGAACUGCCUUUGAUACUGGGUAUCUCGAGUCCGAGAGAGGUGAGUGGAAUUCCGAGUGUAGAGGUGAAAUUCGUAGAUAUUCGGAGGAACACCAGUGGCGAAGGCGGCUCACUGGCUCGGUACUGACGCUGAGGUGCGAAAGCGUGGGGAGCAAACAGG
rnacentral:rRNA from 1 species